CAACAGACUCUUCCUGAAGAGCAGAAGGGGUCAGGAAGGAGCCGCAGAGUCGUGGAGCAGGGAGGCGCCGCGUGACUCAGUCCGGGUCUGCAGCACACCUCCUUGCUGAGCAAGGAGCCGCUCUGAGCGCAAUGGCCCAGAAGGGCCCCCGAGUCCAGCCUGGUGGCUCGAGUGGGCAGACUCUUAACUGCUGAGCCACUGGGAAAGCCGCGUACCAGCAGGUCACCAUGGGCAAAGGUGAGCGAUCGAGGGGAAAGCGUGCACGAGAGCAGAGAGACAAGCCAAGGCCGGAGGCUGUUUCCAUCGCGGCAAACCCGCCUCCUCUGCGGGUUCUGUGGGAGUUCCCGCUGCCCAUGGAAUCGCUCUGACACGCCGACCUGUGGUGAAUGUGGGUCUCCUGGUCUCGGCGGGCGGGUGAGUCAUCGCCCAUCGUCUCUUUGCUGGAGAGGAGGUUCCUUGAGGGCAGAAGUCAUGCCUCACUGUCACCCAGAGAGCCUGACGUGUAGGCCCUCAUCAGCAGUGUCUACCGGAGCAGACGGAAUAAAACUGCCCUCCAGCGCCUGAGAGCAGCUCUGCUCCUGCUCUCCUCACUGGGCUCCCCACACGGGGUGAACAGGUGUGACGACACGAAGGCGGGCGUGAGUCAGACCCAGGCUCUGUUUCCCAGGCUUCACCCCGCCAUCCCACGUCCAGGUCGCCUUCAUCUUGUGCUCGGAGCAGUGCCCCAAAUAACGGUGAGUCACGGAGCUGACAGCUGCCCAAGAUCCGGAAACACUGUUACUCACGCUUGCUGAGUGUCUAUCACGCAUCGGCCAUGGGUCUGCGAGUUCUAACCGCUGCACUCCUCCCGGCAAGCCUGCAUCCCACGUGCGGUUACUGUGCCGGCCCUGUAGACAGUCCCAGGCAGGGAGGGGAGAAGGAACUUCCUGUCUUCACAGGACCCCAAGCUGGGACAUGUCAGGGCUGAGAUUUGAACCUAAGCCAUCAGGUGCCAGACCAUAAGCAGUGGUUUUAAUCAAAGCCACUUCACCAGGGUUUUCCCCGGACCUUGCUGCACCCAUGGCCUCACCCAUCACGUUGCAAUGUUGCCCAGGCUCGAUAGCGCAGUGAGGAAAAUGCAGGGGCGACUCGGAUGCAGCGAGAUAUUCCACAAGCGUGUAGCUGGCUUGUGUGCUUGUGCUCAGAAAACUUCGUGAGAUCCAAGUCAGAUGUUGAGAUGGUACGGCAUGCCUUGGGUUCUUCCUAAGGUGAGACAGAAGCCCCGUGGAGCUGGCAGGGAGCUGCCCUGGAAGCCGGGCUUGUCCAACUUGCAGGAGGAAGGUUCAGGGUCCUGCGUGCAGGAAGUAUGAGGUCUCAGGGGCCUCGGGGGCCUCGGGGAGCCUCACCCCAUGUAAUGUAGCUGCCGAGGAUGUCACAGUGCCCUUGGAGACCGUGUUUGCAGGCUCCAGGGGGACCAGCCGGGAGACCCAGGGCCUCCUGGUGGCUGCCUGGACUCAGGCAACCCAGAUCCACACCCCAAAUCUGCCGUCUGUUCCCACACGCUUCUGAGGGGAUGUUGGGCCUCUCUCUCUGUGCCUGGGUCUCUGGGCCCGUAUAGCGGGAGUGACCGUGAUGUCUUCCUCAAUGUCGUGGUGAGAAUUCAGUGGUAAAUACACCCACUGUCCUUGGCUGGUCCCGGUCCAACAACGUCUUCAUGGCCACGAUCGUCACCACCCAGCCUGAACUGUGGUUCGUGCUGCCUCUCAAACCGGGACCAACACUGUGCCGAGCCCGUCCCUGAAAUCCUCAAAUUCCUCGCUGGUUAUUGGGUCAUCUCUGUCUCCCCCUUGACCUCCUCCCCCACCCCUACAACCAUCCAUGGCUGCCGGGGGUGGGGGUGGGCAUUUUCCUGAUUGCAGUGGACUCUGUGGGUUACGAUAAAUCCAUGACACGGUGCGGUUUGGUGUUAAUUUCAGGUCCAGGUCCCAUUCUGAGAGCUUCAACUCCCAGAUGAAGGUUUAGUUUAACUGGGAAGAGAAGCUGCGUUUUGUUCUUACCCUCUGUAGGUGGGACAGCAAAAAGCAAGGUCCGACUGUGCGUGUGGACAGCAGGCAGCGAUGGCUGUUUACAGACCGUCUUUUGUCCACGAGUUACAUCUGCAGGCAACAAGUCCGUGUGGAAGGCAGCCCCAAGGGGGGCCCAAGGGCUCUGCUUUCUGGAAAUCCAAGCCCUCCUGCCACUGUAUCGGGGCUGUUCUGCGUGGUUAAGGGCAGCAGGGGGACAGGCGUGCCUGAACACGGAGGAGCCCCCACCUUCGCCUCCUGGAUCAUGUGUCCAGGGAAAGCAGAUGCCAUGCACAGGCAGACAGUACUGAGAACAGCACCCAGAGAGCUGCUGAAGCGGACAAACAGCCCCACUUGCCGGCGGUGAGAGGAGAGGAAACAUGUGCCAGGCUCCCUCCCCGACCCUAACACAAGGCUCCGGAAACUCUCCGGACUUCCCGAGUGAUAAGAACAGAGGGGACCUCUUCUGUUCUCAUACUUGAUCUUUGACUCCAGCCCCUAUACAGACCUUCUAAGCCUCUUGGAAUUUCCUGGGCGACGGUCGUGUCCUCUGGUCUAGGGAGGUGGCUCCAGGUGGGCAUGUGGGUGGGAGCUGGUCACCAGGAAGACCCAGCCUGGACGAGAAGCUGGGAAUUUUCAGCUCCCCUAACUCCUUCCCUAGAGAAGGGCUGAAAACAGAGCUCAUGAUCCAUCAUGCCUGGAUGAUGAAGCCUCCCCAAAUCCCAGAAGCAGAGGGGUCAGAGAGCCCCCAGGCGGGUGAGCACACGGAGAUGUGGGGAGCAGCCCCCAGGGACGGUGUGGGGCUCCGGGCCCUCCCACACCUGCCCUACACACAUUUCUCUGCGUCCUUAUCACGUCUUUCUAUAAUAAACUAGGAGAGUAAGCAAAUCUUUCUGGGUUCUGUGAGCUGCUUUAGAAAUCAAUCAGACCCAAGGCGGGAGGCAUUGGACCCUCCUGUCUAGAGCAGGGGAGUCAGAGUCGCAG
ensembl:lncRNA